rnacentral:rRNA from 1 species
GACGAACGCUUGCGGCGUGCCUAAGAAAUGCAAGUCGAGCGGGGAGCAAUCCCAGCGGCGAACGGUCGCGUAACACGUAAGCAACCUGCCCGAAAGACCGGGAUAACGUUCCGAAAGGGCGCUAAUACCGGAUGUGACCACUAUUGGACAUCCUUUGGUGAUUAAAUCAUUUAUGGCUUUCGGAGGGGCUUGCGGCCUAUCAGCUAGAUGGUGAGGUAACGGCUCACCAUGGCGUCGACGGGUAGCUGGUCUGAGAGGAUGGUCAGCCGGACUGGGACUGAGAUACGGCCCAGACUCCUACGGGGGGCAGCAAUUAGGAAUCUUGCGCAAUGGGCGAAAGCCUGACGCAGCGACGCCGCGUGGAGGAGGAAGGCCUUCGGGUUGU